GAGGCCAGCGUUCCCCUGUCUGGUCUCCUCUCUCUUCCAUGUCAGAGAGAGUCAUUUUUAUUGUUAAUAGGAAGGUGUCUGCUUUGUCACCUGCAGCUGCCCUGGCCCUGUGGCCUAUUGUCUGAGCUGGUGCCACCUCAAGCAGGAUGGCAUGUGCUAGGCCUAACUCGGGGGGCAGUAGCAUGGGGGACCCAGGCUUUUCGUUGGCAUCUCAGCUGCGUCAGUUUGCAAACAUGUGCACUGCCCUUAGCUAGCAGGAGGUGAAAAGACAAGUGGCGUGGCUUUAAAACAACACCAGUGAAAAUCCAAACAAGUCUAACUUGACCUCCCCAAGGAGAACAGCAUGUGGGCAAGAGAGCUGAGGAUUCACCCAGGACCUGCCUCAGAGCUGGGGGUUCAUUUUGGGGCCUUAGUGAUCUUUCAGGCUUGCCUACAAGUAUGACUCUGAUCCAAAAUUAGGCUUUGAAUGUGUAACACAAGGCUCCCUGCCCCACCCACCGCCUCCCUCUGCCCUGUGCCGUUUCUUCAGAGCCUGGCUCUGGGCCAGAUCUGGCCCUUCUGGCUCCUGGGGGAAGGGCUGGAUGCAGUGUUCUGUUUCCAGGCAGGGCUUUAGGGUGGGUGAAGGUGAUUGCACUAUUCAGGAAGGGGUGCGGAGGUGAUACGCUUGGGAAGGGCACCCAACCCUCAAAUGCCUCACCCCAUCAACCCAAAGCUGGAGAAGACUUAGGGCAGUGCGCAUUGCUUAUGCCCACCUGUGCCUUCCAGCUUGGGCUUCUAAUAGGCCUUCGACAGCGAGAGAGCCAAGCCAUGUGGGCCGGCCACUCUGUCAAGCCCAACAGCAGCCUCAGAGGUUUUUCUUCGGGCUUGCAAUGAGGAACAAGCUUAACAAGCAAACAGUCAUGUCUGAGCUCUCAGUUCACCGCAAACCAUACUUGAGAACGUCGGGAUGAGAGCGUGGCUUUAGAGGGCUCCGCUCCCCGAGAAGGAAUGUGGAGAAGGCACCUACAGCCCUGUGGUAUCAGUCCAGCCAUUGAAGUGGGUUUCAUGGAAAACCAUCCACCGACAAAGAAAGAAACGCAAGUACUUUCUUCAGAUGGAGAAACUGAAGCACGAAGAGGUGAAGUGAGGUCACCAAGGGAGCAGGUAGGUAACAAAAUGGACAUGACAUGAGCACAGACAGGAUAUGGAGAAGAGAG
rnacentral:lncRNA from 1 species